rnacentral:ncRNA from 1 species
AUGUGUUUAAUUCUUUUACGUGAAGUUGAUUUUAUUAUUGAAUUACAUGUAAAUUUUUGUGUGUUAAUAUAUUCUAAAUGAUAAUUAUCUUAUUUGCAGUUUUUUUUAUUAAAAUUCUAAUGGGUUAGGAUUUAGCAAAUUAUUAUUGAAUUAUAAAAAGUUGUGCCAGCAUAUGCGGUUACACCUCUAUAUUCUUAUCAAUUUUUUAGGUUAACAUUUAUAUUUAAAUUUAAAAUUAAAUUUUUUAUUAUUGGGUGAAAUCUUAAUUAAAAUUGUUUUUUGGUUUUAUAUUUAUGUGAAAAUAAUAUAUUAGACUAGGAUUAGAUACCCUAUUAUUAUUAUUAUAAUUUAUUACCUUGUUAUUAAAAGUUAUGUUCUUGAAAUCAAAAGGAUUUGGCGGUAAUUUAAUCUUUUUAGAGGAACCUGUUUUGUAAUUGAUAAUCCACGAUUGGUUUUACUUUAUUAUUUGUUUGUAUACCUCUGUUAUUGAAUGUCUUAUUAGGGUAUUUUCUUUAAUUAUUAUUUGGAUAAUAUCAAGUCAAGGUGCAGUUUAUAUUAAAGUUUAAAAUGGGUUACAUUUAAUUUAUUAAUUAGUUUAGGAAUUAUGAAUUUCUUAUUAAAUAGGAUUUAAAUGUAAAUUUUAAUAAAUAUUAAUAUUGAUUUUUGCUCUAAAUUAUGUACAUAUCGCCCGUCACUCUCAUCUUUUAAAGUGAGAUAAGUCGUAACAAAGUAAUUUUAUUGGAAAAUGAGGUUGGAAUAU